rnacentral:tRNA from 1 species
GGCCUCAUGGCGCAACGGCAGCGCGUCUGACUCCAGAUCAGAAUGGUUGUGUGUUCAAGUCACACUGGGGUCA